rnacentral:rRNA from 1 species
CCGGCAUGGUCAUCUCUCAGACACUAGUAUCUCAAGUCUGCAAACUGCAUACUGCUUUGAACAUCGACAUCUUGAACGCAUAUUGCGGCCAUGGGUUAGCCUGUGGCCACGCCUGUCCGAGGGUCG